CCAAAAAAGAUCCCUGGAAUAGUCUUUGAAAAGCGAUAUUUGCAUGUCUCCUACCUGAGACAGGGCUAAAGCUGUAGCCUCCAGCCUGGUGCUCAAGGGGCUUCAGAAAGUGUGAGACUGGACAGUGCAUCUGUAAAAAACCCCAACCCUCCCCUUUUCCUUCCACCAGAGCACUGUCCUAUGAGCAAAAACUGCAGACAUCUCUAAGCCAUGGAAGAGACAACUGGGCUGGGGACCAGUUCAGUGCGGACCUACAUUUCAACCACCAUGAUGAAGAGGACUCUUCCAUCUUCUAAACCCCCCCAGACCGUCUCUAUCCAGAUUUGGCACCUACUUCAUCAGGCUGACAGUUAAGAAGUUGAGAAAGAGAACUCAGUUGGAACCUUGAAUCCUCCUAGCCCACCAGAAGACUAGAGAGGAAAAACAAGCUUAGGAGAGCUGUAUGUGGUGCCCUGUGGUGUCCUGUGGUGCAGGUGAGACGUCUAAAGACAGCAUCAUUCACACUGGAUCAGGAUGGAUGAAGUACUGAAGGAGGCCAGAUUGGAGGAGCCAGUCUGGGCAGGGGUGUGGCUGUUUCCGGGCAAGGUUGCCAGGUUUUCCUGGAGAUUGAUCCUGCCUCUUUGCAGGGACUGGGACAGAUGAUUUGGAACUCCCCAAGAUGGGCACUUCUGAGCAGAAUUCAUGCCUGGGGUCACCUCAGCUUUUCAGAGCUCAUCUCACCUGCCUCACACAAAAUCCCGCUGCCUUCCAUGCCGGGUUAAAGUGGCUCAGAGUAAAUGAAAGGCCUUUACUGUGGGCCUGGGAGCUCUGCAGCCCGACUCAGCUUCUGGUGAAGAGCUUGAGAGCCGGGCCGUGUCUGUGGAGUGAGGGGCCCAGUUCCUUUUUUCUUCUUGCCUGCGAUUCUCAGAUGAUUAGCUGUCACCCCAGCAGACCCAACAGUGGCACACAGGGACACAUUCCAUGCAGGAGUGUGGAUGAUUCCCAUAUUAGAUUCUUUAAACCUCAUCUUAUAUUAAUUUGGGGUUCCUUCGGAGUAUACCUUGAAUAAAGAAUUUUGGUGCAA